rnacentral:lncRNA from 1 species
CCCGUGCAUCCCGCCUAACGACGCCCGCGCAUUGCAGUUGGCUGUCGCAGUGGUCGUGCACCACCCGCGGGCGGUGCUGCCGGAAGCCCCUCCCGGGGCCGCGGCUCGGUGGCUGGCUGACCGCGGCUGUCACUCCCGGGCGUUUUCCCCGGGCCGGUGCUCAGCUGGGGCGGAGGAAGAGGCGGCCAGGGCCUGCCGAGCCGUUGCAGUCUUCGCGGCUGCUAUGCUCAGGGAGCGCAGCGCCCUCCGCAGCUCCGCGCAGCCCUAGAGGCAGCCGAGCGCCCGCCGACGCCGCCCGGAUCACCGGUGCCACCGCUACCCCGGUCCCGCAGCUCCCGUGGAUUCUCCGGCGCUGCUUGCGAGGCCAGACGGAGGCAAGAUGAAGAUGACGGUGGAUUUCGAGGAGUGUCUGAAGGACUCGCCCCGUUUCAGGUAACCACUGUGUCUGCUAGUGCCUCCCGGAGCCGCCUAUGCCCGCGGCGGGGCGUGAGAGCCGGUCUUGGGGAGCGGCCG